UGACCAACCACCGAACCAUUGUGCCCAGCGCUCAAACGUCAUGCCCUACGUGCGGCCACUGCGCCCGCCGUGCAGCAAGAAAGGUCCGGUUGCAUCUGUAGACGCGAGUCGCGACGUAAAUCACAGACGACAGUCGACUUCCUCAUGUCGCUGUGUGAUUGACCGUGCAUAGCAGCUUCUGUUUGGAAGUCCUCAGCACACACAGGCCCUGCUAUGUUGAGGUGUAUCAGCUAUGACUGAUGUGGAGGCGACAUAUGAAGACUUCAUCGCUUCACAGCGGACCGGCCGACGGAACGCCGUACACGACAUCCCACAAUCCCCUGAGGCACAGGGACCCAGCGACCUAUCACACGACCUGGCUCAGCUCAACAUCAACAAAUCCGGUGAAGGAGAGGAUGCUGAAAAGAGCCAGGCCCCGUCAGAUUCUUCAUCCCAACGAGGGGAGGGGGGUAAAGAGUAGGAGGGCUAGCAGACGAUCAGUGGUCAUCAGUGGACAAACUGCUGCUCUUUUUCCAAACUUUUAAUCUGUGAACUGAUCUUUCACCCUACUAUUGUCUAGUAGUCCCUCCCCAACUUCUCUCAAAACUAUGCCCUGAGCCAAUAAUAUGAAUUGUUGGGUUUACUUAGGCAGCCGCAGCACACUGAGCCCUCUGUGCUGGUCCGCAUCCCAACAGUCUUAAAAAGCUCCCUUUCCUUACCUACUUUCCUUCUAAACCACUGAAGCUGAAACUAGAUAAGACCCCAGUUCCGAUUCUCCCCUCUCUCCUUGAAGUGUGUACACUUCAGGGAAAGAGGAAGAAACGGAAUGAAUGGGAAGGAACAGAAUUGGAGUAAUAUGGUACGACAGAUGAAAACAAUGUGGUGGAAUCUUACCCAUUGACUUUUCGGUGGUCCUUCCUAAAGGAAAGGAAGCCAUUUAAUGUGUUUGGGACGUAGCAGAAGAUGUUUUCAAUAGAGGAAGUUGAACUUGCCUAACCCGCCUUGGGGAUUCUCUAUGGUUACCACUCUAAACACAGAACUAAACUGUAACAAUGAACAGUGAUUGGACACUGACUCCAGCUCUUUCCUCUCUGCCCUGAUGCCAUUGGCCCAGGCCCCCUGUCAAUCAUGUGGACAUCCUUACAGUAACAACAACCUCCUUUCACUCUCUAAAUGAUUGAACCUUCAUUUAUCCAAGUGAUCUCCUGAGCUUGAGAACCUCUUUUACCAGAGACUUGACAAGGCACUGGGGUUGGAAACUAAAAUGUCAUAUACAUUGUCAUGACGUGAUAAUUGGACACACUGACACUAAAAGAUGGCCGUUAAUUUCGCUGCACUGUUUUGCUUGUCUCCAACAGGUUUGCUAUGUAAGCGUACACUGCUAGCUGAUGUCCCCUCCAUAGCGUGUGGCUGAUCAGUGUGUUUACUGGUCAUGUCCUGUCUCACCCACUGUACCAGGAAUUGAGCUGUGACUUACUCUUUUUUUUGUUUUGUUUUUUGUCUGUAUUUCAUAAAACAAGUUAUUAAUCCAAAUUCAUAGGCUACAAUUUCCGUAAUGGAUUAUUUAAUCAGUUUGGAUUAGUAACUCGUUACGAGAAGAACACUAGUUUUGAAGGUGAGACUGACAUCUAUGCUCGACGCCAUUGUUGAGUUGUUUGUUUGGAUGUACAAAUAAAGAUCAUUCAUCAUUGA